rnacentral:rRNA from 1 species
CACUGACAUUAGAUACCCCUGUAGUCCCAGCCGUAAACUAUGCGCGUUAGGUGUAUCGGUGACCACGAGUCACCGAGGUGCCGAAGGGAAACCGUGAAACGUGCCGCCUGGGAAGUACGGUCGCAAGGCUGAAACUUAAAGGAAUUGGCGGGGAGCACCACAACAGGUGGAGCCUGCGGUUUAAUUGGACUCAACGCCGGGAAGCUCACCGGAUAGGACAGCAGAAUGAUUGCCGGGCUGAAGACUCUGCAUGACUAGCUG